AUUGAACGCUGGCGGCAGGCCUAACACAUGCAAGUCGAGCGAGCGGCGGACGGGUGAGUAAUGUCUGGGAAACUGCCUGAUGGAGGGGGAUAACUACUGGAAACGGUAGCUAAUACCGCAUACCAUCAGAUGUGCCCAGAUGGGAUUAGCUCGUGGUUGGGGGAACGGAUCACCUAGGCGACGAUCCCUCCCUGGUCUGCGAGGUGGACCAGCCACCCUGGACCUGAGCCACGGUCCCGACUCCUACGGGAGGCAGCAGUGGGAAAUAUUGCACAAUGGGCGCAAGCCUGAUGCAGCCCUGCCGCGUGUGUGAAGAAGGCCUUCGGGUUGUAAAGCACUUUCAGCGGGGAGGCGUUACCCGCAGAAGAAGCACCGGCUAACUCCGUGCCAGCAGCCGCGGUAAUAC
rnacentral:rRNA from 1 species